rnacentral:rRNA from 1 species
UACGUAGGGUGCAAGCGUUAAUCGGAAUUACUGGGCGUAAAGCGUGCGCAGGCGGUUAUGUAAGACAGACGUGAAAUCCCCGGGCUCAACCUGGGAACUGCAUUUGUGACUGCAUAGCUAGAGUACGGUAGAGGGGGAUGGAAUUCCGCGUGUAGCAGUGAAAUGCGUAGAUAUGCGGAGGAACACCGAUGGCGAAGGCAAUCCCCUGGACCUGUACUGACGCUCAUGCACGAAAGGCGUGGGGAGCAAACGAGG